rnacentral:RNase_P_RNA from 1 species
UGGAUGAUCGCUCUUUAGGGAGAGGAAAGUCCGAACUCCAAAGGAUAAGGUGCCUCCUAACAGGAGGACUCAUUAAGAGAUGGAAAGUGCAACAGAAAGUAAACCGCCUAUAUUUAAUAGGUAAGGGUGAAAAGGUGGUGUAAGAGACCACCAGGAGAAUUUGAAAAAAUUUUUGCUAUGUAAACCCCACCUGGAGAAAGAUCAAGUAACUUUGUGUUAUCCGCACAGUAAAAGUGGGUAGAUCGCUUGAGUCUAUUAGCAAUAAUAGACCUAGAUGAAUGAUCAUCGUUCAGCUUAGCUGGAUACAGAAUUCGGCUUAUAGGUUAGCCU